CAACGGUACCCUGUUUGUACCGGGGCGACGCCUGACUACGGCCGGUCGGACCCCGGUGCGCGGCAGUGCACGCCUCUCCGGAGAGGACAGCCACCCGCGCGCCGGCCCAGAGAGCGCCGUGACGCUACCUGUCGCGCCGACACCAGCCGCUGGCCCCGCGUCGUCUGCGGAGGCCUGAGAAGAGACGGAGGUGCAGUGCUCCGGUCAGCGCCAGCGCCAGCAGCGGCAGCGGCCUGACGUCAUGGCCGUCCCAGCAGCGCUCGUCCUGGUGCUGCUCUUGUCACUGACGACGUGUGGCGAUGCCAGCCGGGCCCAGUUCCGCCUGACGCUGGCCCCGCCGCUGUGCCCCUGCGCAAGCAUCCAGUUCUGCUUGGGUGGCGCGUGUCUGCCGCGCAUUCCAAACUGGUUCGGCUGUUUGGCGGACCGGAUGUGUCUGUCGGGCCGGUGCCGGGGCGGUGUGUGCUGGACAGCGCCAACCACCACUACUACCACUACCACUACCACCACCACGCAGCGGCCAGACACCAGCGGAGGUGUGGGUUGUCCCACUCCGUCGUGUGGUGGACGUGGCAGUAGCUGCAUGAUACUUCCGAACGGAUGCAGUGUGCCUGGGUACCCUAGCAUAUAAUAAAGUUUGAAAAACGAGAUACACAGAAACUUGUAUCUUAUAUCUUAUAGACCGGAGGAGAAUACACCAUUUUAAAGCGCUCUUCCUUGAGCGCAACUAAUUUCUCCUAUUUUUCCUUGAUACUUUCCAUGUCUGUGGAGAAGAACCCCCUUGGCUAGCUCUCUUUUCACUUUUCUGCAGCUUCGCACAUGAACUCUUCAUCAGUGUACACGCUUUCCCGUAGACGUGACUUCAAAAGUGAAAACAGGAGUUACUGCCAGGUUAGGACUGAAAGCUGGGUAAUGCAACUCCUCAAAUUAGAUGGUUGUUGAUGACCACCCACACUACUCGGGCCUUGUGAACAGGCAAUAGGAAUUAUGACAAGAAAAGGACCCAACCCUGCGAUUGCUCUUCUCAUUGGAAUAAAAUAGACCCCAACUUUA
rnacentral:lncRNA from 1 species